AACGAACGCUGGCGGCAUGCCUAACACAUGCAAGUCGAACGAGACCUCCGUGUCUAGUGGCGCAUGGGUGCGUAGCGCGUGGGAACCUGCCCUUAGACUCCGAAUAAUUCCCCGAAAGGGGUGCUAAUGCCGGAUAAUGUCUUCGGACCACAGAUUCAUCGACUUUGGAUGGGCCGGAGUUGGUUUAGCUUGUUGGUAGGGUAAAAGCCUACCAAGGCUACGAUCCAUAGCUGGUCAGAGAGAAAGAGCAGCCACACUGAGGCUGAGACGCAGCGCAGAAUACUGGGCGAGGGGGCAGUGGGGGAUAUAGGACAACGGGCGGAGGCAUGAAGCAGCAAGGCCGCGAGAGUGAUGAAGGCCUUAGAGAUGUGAAGCUCUUUAACCCGGGAUGGUAAUGACGGUACCGGGAGAAUAAGCACCGGCUAACUCCGUG
rnacentral:rRNA from 1 species